GACGAACGCUGGCGGCGUGCUUAAUACAUGCAAGUCAACUUGACUUUAGAUAGCAAUAUCGAAAAGUAGGGUGGCGCACGGGUGCGUAACGCGUAGGUAAUCUGCCCUGAGGUCUGACAUAACCCGUCGAAAGGCGGGCUAACAUCAGAUGAUAUAUAAUCACGACAUCGUGGAAAUAUCAAAUCUUCGGAGCCUUGGGAUGAGCCUGCGUCUGAUUAGGUAGUUGGCGGAGUAAUAGCCCACCAAGCCUACGAUCAGUAGCUGGUCUGAGAGGAUGAUCAGCCACACUGGAACUGAGACACGGUCCAGACUCCUACGGGAGGCAGCAGUAAGGAUAUUGCUCAAUGGGGGAAACCCUGAAGCAGCAACGCCGCGUGAAGGAUGAAAUACUUUUGUAUGUAAACUUCUGUAAGAUGGGAAAAAUAUUACUCCUCGGGAGAAUUGAUUGUACCAUCAGAGUAAGCCCCGGCUAACUACGUGCCAGCAGCCG
rnacentral:rRNA from 1 species